UACAGAGGGUGCGAACGUUGCUCGGAAUUACUGGGCGUAAAGCGCAUGUAGGCGGAUCCAUAAGUCGGGCGUGAAAUCCCCCAGGCUCAACCUGGGAACUGCGCUCGAAACUACGUGGCUCGAGUGUGGCAGAGGAAGGUGGAAUUCCACGUGUAGCGGUGAAAUGCGUAGAGAUGUGGAGGAACACCGAUGGCGAAGGCAGCCUUCUGGGCCAACACUGACGCUCAUGCACGAAAGCGUGGGGAGCAAACAGG
rnacentral:rRNA from 1 species